AUUGAACGCUGGCGGCAUGCCUUACACAUGCAAGUCGAACGGCAGCACGGGUGCUUGCACCUGGUGGCGAGUGGCGAACGGGUGAGUAAUACAUCGGAACAUGUCCUGUAGUGGGGGAUAGCCCGGCGAAAGCCGGAUUAAUACCGCAUACGAUCUACGGAUGAAAGCGGGGGACCGUCGGGCCUCGCGCUAUAGGGUUGGCCGAUGGCUGAUUAGCUAGUUGGUGGGGUAAAGGCCUACCAAGGCGACGAUCAGUAGCUGGUCUGAGAGGACGACCAGCCACACUGGGACUGAGACACGGCCCAGACUCCUACGGGAGGCAGCAGUGGGGAAUUUUGGACAAUGGGCGAAAGCCUGAUCCAGCAAUGCCGCGUGUGUGAAGAAGGCCUUCGGGUUGUAAAGCACUUUUGUCCGGAAAGAAAUCCUUGGCCCUAAUACGGUCGGAGGAUGACGGUACCGGAAGAAUAAGCACCGGCUAACUACGUG
rnacentral:rRNA from 1 species